GCCGGCAUUUUACCGUCUCCCGUCCUCACAGGAAGAAGAAGGGGUGGUUUUUUCCUGUGGAAAUUCAGUGAGCUUGAGGCAGAUUGACCAACUAAGGAGCUGGGCAAGCAAGCAGGAGCUGAGAGGAAUUCUCUUCUGCUUGGUACAUUGUGGUGGGAAGAUUCCCUGCAGAAACCAAGCAGUACCCUUGGCCGCAUGAAGAUUCAGUGCCUUGUUUAUAUCAGUUUCCAUUUUGACAUUUGUUCUUAAAUGGAUCAAGGUCGUUUUUAUCUGCUUAAUGAUCUGCUUGC